rnacentral:rRNA from 1 species
CCUACGGGAGGCAGCAGUGGGGAAUAUUGCGCAAUGGACGAAAGUCUGACGCAGCAACGCCGCGUGAGGGAUGACGGCCUUCGGGUUGUAAACCUCUUUCAGCAGGGACGAAGCGAGAGUGACGGUACCUGCAGAAGAAGGACCGGCCAACUACGUGCCAGCAGCCGCGGUAAUACGUAGGGUCCGAGCGUUGUCCGGAAUUAUUGGGCGUAAAGGGCUCGUAGGCGGUUCGUCACGUCGGGAGUGAAAACUCGGAGCUCAACUCCGAGCCUGCUUCCGAUACGGGCAGACUAGAGGUAGGCAGGGGAGAGCGGAACUCCUGGUGUAGCGGUGGAAUGCGCAGAUAUCAGGAAGAACACCGGUGGCGAAGGCGGCUCUCUGGGCCUUACCUGACGCUGAGGAGCGAAAGCGUGGGUAGCGAACAGGAUUAGAUACCCUGGUAGUCCACGCCGUAAACGUUGGGCGCUAGGUGUGGGGGACAUUCCACGUCCUCCGUGCCGCAGCUAACGCAUUAAGCGCCCGCCUGGGGAGUACGGCCGCAAGGCUAAAACUCAAAGGAAUUGACGG